UAGAGUUUGAUCAUGGCUCAGAUUGAACGCUGGCGGCGUGCUUAACACAUGCAAGUCGAGCGGUAACAGGUGUAGCAAUACAUGCUGACGAGCGGCGAACGGGUGAGUAAUGCUUCGGAAUCUGCCUCGUAGUGGGGAAUAACUAACCGAAAGGUUAGCUAAUGCCGCAUACGAACCACGGUUGAAAGCGGGGGAUCGCAAGACCUCGCGCUAUGAGAUGAGCCGAAGUCGGAUUAGCUAGUUGGUGAGGUAACGGCUCACCAAGGCGACAAUCCGUAGCUGGUCUGAGAGGACGACCAGCCACACUGGGACUGAGACACGGCCCAGACUCCUACGGGAGGCAGCAGUGGGGAAUAUUGGACAAUGGGGGCAACCCUGAUCCAGCGACGCCGCGUGUGUGAAGAAGGCCUGCGGGUUGUAAAGCACUUUUAGUGGGGACAAGAAGCCAUCGGCUAAUACCGGGUGGUCUUGAUUUAACCCRAAGAAAAAGCACCGGCUAACUCUGUGCCAGCCGCCGCGGUAAUAC
rnacentral:rRNA from 1 species